GUCCAUAUAGCUUAUAAUAAAGCAUGACACUGAAGAUGUCAAGAUGGCUGCCACAAACACCUAUGGACA
rnacentral:tRNA from 1 species